rnacentral:lncRNA from 1 species
UAGUGAUGACAUCAUCCCUGAGUUAUUCUCCCUUUAUUCAUCAUUGGAACUGUCUAUGAUAAAUAGUUUAUACCAUGCAAGCAUUCUGACUGUUCCAAGUCUUUCUGGUAUAUAUAUUCAUAGCAUCAAGCACAUCUCCCCAAUUUAUCACAAUUGAAAUUUUCUAUUUAUUCCAGUGUGUGAUUGAAAUGUGUCUCCUACCAGAUCAUAAGCUUCUUUGGGAUAAGCACUGUUUUUUUGUUUGUUGUGUUUUGUUGUGCUGUUUUGUUCUUUGAUUCAGUAGAAACAUCCCAAGGGCACACAGAGAUGCCUAGCCCAUGAUUGGCACACACAGAUAUUGGUCAAGUGAAAUUUUACAACCUUGCAAAAAUAAUGUUUUCCAAUUUCACAGGUGAGAAAGCUGCUGCUCCCAAAGAACCAUUUUCCUAAAGUGACAUCGGUAAUAAAUGGAAAGCCUGAGAUGCAGACCUAAAAGUGAUUCUCUAGAGUCAAUACACUUUCUAUUAAGAUAGACAAUGUCUUAUUACCAUCUUCUUCUUUUACAGAUGAAUAAAUAGAAGCUUAGAGGAUGUUAAAUAACUUUCCCAGGCAGAUGUUUGCAUAGCUAGGGCUCAAGCCUGGGUCUUCAAUUAGAUGUCCAGACUGCCUUCUCUCUAUUCUGUUUCCUGUACACUAUAAAAACCUUCUUAGGAUGGAGCCUUAACUCUCCUCCCUGCCAUCUGCCCAGGAUUUGAUUGAUUCAGGCAGUAGCAUUUUUUUUUUCCUCAAUGAGCCAAAGGAGUCAGUCCCACCAGAGUCUUAGAUUGGCCUGGCACUGGAUGAGAAGUAGACUUCUGCUGCCACCUGUUUGCUUGCUCUAGCAUUUACUGGGCAACAUUUUCCCUGAACAUGUCUGACAAGCAGUCAGUCCUUGUUAACAUGUGGAAGUGUACCUUGGGAUCUACCAUAAUGGAGUCUGGGACUGUGAGGUUCUUGAGUGAUUAAAAGAGGUUGCAAGUGUCACCAGUUCUGGUGCAUGUUGCUGCUGCUGCUAAGUCGCUUCAAUCAUGUCUGACUCUAUGCGACCCCAUAGACGGCAGCGGACCAGGCUCCCCUGUCCCUGGGAUUCUCCAGGCAAGAACACUGGAGUGG